rnacentral:rRNA from 1 species
CCAAUCUCUAAAGCCGGUCGUAGUUCGGACUGGAGUCUGCAACCCGACUCCACGAAGUUGGAUUCGCUAGUAAUCGCGCAUCAGCCAUGGCGCGGUGAAUACGUUCCCGGGCCUUGUACACACCGCCCGUCACACCAUGGGAGUCGGAAAUGCCCGAAGUCUGUGACCCAACCAUUAAGGAGGGAGCAGCCGAAGGCAGGUCGGAUGACUGGGGUGAAGUCGUAACAAGGUAUC